rnacentral:rRNA from 1 species
GACGAACGCUGGCGGCGUGCUUAACACAUGCAAGUCGAACGGAAAGGCGAGGAGCUUGCGGGGUGCUCGAGUGGCGAACGGGUGAGUAACACGUGAGUAACCUGCACUUGACUGUGGGAUAAAUUCAGGAGACUGGGGCGAAUACAGGGUAGGAGCUAUUGCAGCAUGGGGGGGGAUGGUGAGUGUCGGCGGUUGGGGAUGGACUCGCGGCUUAUGAGCUUGAUGGUGGGGUAGUGGCGUACCAGGGCUAUGACGGAUAGCCGGCCUGAGAGCGUGACCGGCCACAUUGGGCCUGAGAUACGGCCCAGACUCCUACGGGAGGCAGCAGUGGGGAAUAUGGCGCAAUGGGCGGAAGCCUGAUGCAGCAACGCCGCGUGCGGGAUGACGGCCUUCGGGUUGUAAACCGCUUUCGCCGGUGACGAAGAGUGAGUGACGGUAAUGGGUAAAGAAGCACCGGCUAACUACGUG